rnacentral:lncRNA from 1 species
AUGAAGAUAGAAAGGAAGAGUACGUAGAGAGAUAGAGAUAUCAGAAAGAAAGGGGAAAAGAAGAGAAAAGGAGAAGAGAAAGAAAGAAGAGGAAACUUGGAGGAAAAAGAAGACUUGAAGAAGAAGUGGAAAACAUCAACAAUCAAACCAAAUUCUUUCCAUCAUCUUCAUCUUCAAGGUGAGUUCUUAGAUAGAUUUAACCUUGGGGAAUUUUGCAUUAAUUCAUAAUGAUAUAUGUUUUGAUAUGGAUAUCAGUGGUUGAAAUUGAAAAAGAGAGUGUUUAGAAUUCUCAAUCAGCUUGCAAAUUGAUUCAUGCGUCUCUUUAUCUAGUCUCCAUUUAUUCCCGUUCUUCUUAGUUGACAAAUAUCUAGUAUCAUUUUAUCCAAAUUUCAGAAAGAAAAAAAAUACCUGAGACGGAAAACCAUAAAAAUGCAGCAUUUACAUCAUUCAAUAAAUAGAAGCACUUUUAAAAAAUAACGAUUUAUUCUUAAAUGCACUUUUAAUGAAAAUUCGGAAUAGUUAAUAAAACAUAAACAUUACAAUGUUUCUACAAUGAGAAAAAUCCGCUUCAUGAAAAUAUAGUAUUUCAAUUAUAACACUUAAACUAGACCAAUGGAUAACCUACAUGAUAUAAAAUUAAACACAUUUUUUUAGUACAAUAGCCCCUCGCAAGGUUGCUUAUGUUUUGGGCAUUGCUCUUCCCAGUUAGUAGUGAAGAAUUACCUUAAAAAUUUCAAAAAUGUCCUUUAUUAAUCCAAAAGUAUAUUUAUGAAGGUAUUUUUUAUAAAUAAAAAUACGUUCUAAGUGAAACACAUCCCAUUUUUUAAAAAAUUAGUUUACAAGUGUAUUUCGGAACUCACCCCAUAUUAGAUUUUGUGUGAACAAUUCGGAGUGAAUCCGAAAAUGUACUUUUAGACAGGCUAAUUUUCUAAACAACGCUAACCAAGGUUACUCCUGAACUACAUUUCUGUACAAGCCUUAAUUUUACUAAAAAAAACAUGGUGUGUUCAAACUAAUUAAUAUACUUGUAGCACCAACUAAUGCUACAAUAAAAAUGGGUUUAGGCAACAACGAAAAACCGUUCCUUAAAGGUAUAAAACCGUUGCUUAAUGCUUUAGGGGACGGUUUAUCAAGCGUGGAAUAAACAGCCGUUGCUUAUUCCAUUAGAGCGCGGUUUUUUGAUUUCUACCUACGGAUUCUGAACACCAUCGCCUUAAAUAUCAAAGUCCACGGUUUUAGUUGAACUUUUAAGUUGCGGUUUUCAAGUAGCAACAUAAAAUAACUGUUCCCAAAGCAUGUGAAAAGGCAACGGUUAUUAAUAACCAACAGAUGUAAAUCGUAGCUUAAUCUAUAAUUUCAUUUACACAACACAUAUAACCGCGCCUAAAACAAAGGAAUAUACUACGGUUUUUGAUAAGCAACGCAUAAAAAGCGUUGUCUAUAGAUUGAAAAACAAAUCAAAUUUAUAUAUAACGUUAGACUUUGAAAGACAUAAUUAGUAUAAAAUUUUCUUGUUGUGCACUUUAGACUUUGAAAGAUAUAAUUAGUAUAGAAUUUUCCUGUUCAUUUAUAUGGUGAUACAUUUGUGAUCAUAUACCUUCACAUUAUUCUAAUAGAUUAUUUUUCAAUAUUAUUAGAAGAAGCACAUUUAUAAAUUGAAACAUAUAUAAAUAUGAAGUAUUAAUAAGAUGAAGUGUAAUCAACUCUUUGAAAUGCAAAAAAUACAAAUAUUUUCAAAAUAAAUCCAAGCAUAUAAGUUAUAGCUAGUUGGCUUAUGUAACUCCAUAAAACAAAACAUAAUCGUCAUAUUUAAAUCAAUGGCGGUCUUUAUCAUAUUCAUUGUGUUGAGGUCCAUGAGAAUCAUCAUCUUGAAAAUUAUCAUAUUGAAGAUCAUUAUCAUCUUGAUCAUAUUGAAGAUCAUCAUCAUCUGAUCAUAUUGAAGAUCAUCAUCAUCUUGAUUAUAUUGAAGAUUAUCGUCAUCUUGAAGAUCAUCAUCUUGUUUCAUCUUGAGGAUCAUCUUUGUUUCUAACCUAUAAACACUACUAGAAAAACAGUUAUUAGCGUAGGCCACUUUCAGACGCUAAAGGUGGAAAACCAGACACUAAAAUGUGGUUAGCGCGUCGGUUUAGGCGUCGGUGUCGGGCCUUGAAUAAAAGGUGCGAAGCUACUGUGUAACGUCGGCUGAAGAUACCCGAGGCUACGUAGCCUCGUGGAACAGAGGCUAACGCGGACACUAAUGGGACCGACGCUAUAUUGUUUAAAACCAUGAAAAGUCAAUAUUAUGUUUAGCGUUGCCCUGUCCGACUCUAAAGUCAACAAAAAAAGUCAACAUUUUUGUAUGCAUCGAUCGACUGGCAUUGAGGUCAAUUUAUAAAACUCAUGAAAAAAAAAUAAGCGUCCGUGUCACCGACCCUAAAGUCAACAUAGAAAAGUCUAUAAUAAUAUUUAGCCUUGCAUAUGAUAUGGAAGAAUAAUCAAAUCUCAAAUAAGCCUAUCAGAUGAAGAAUAAUCAUUUACUUGGAUAUGAUAUGGAAGAAUCAAUCCAUGGUCCAUCCAUUGAUUUGCCUCUUAGCUCUCUACUAUCUUGUAAAGAUGUUGAAGAAACAUUAGUUUGGCUAUCAUGUGAUUGUAUACGUGCGUUUUCGCACGCCAUGAGAUUCGUGUACGAAAUGAUGUUUCGACAAAUGAUGACAUGGGUUGGAACGGUUUGAUAAACAAGUAUGGUUCGACACUUCGACAAGAGGGAGGUUUCGUCAUUUCGACAAAGAUAUUCGCAGCUAGGAAGGUACUUUCGACAAAACACGGAAAGACAUUGCAGUAUGUUGGUAGAUUCGACAAAAUCCUGAAAGAAGACGUCAUUUCGACUUAACAUAUAAAUUUGAAUUUAAAAAGAUGUGACGUUUGGCAGAGGACGCGUGAAGCAUCUGGCGAAAGGAGGAAAGCCAUGUGUCGUAGUUUUAGGAUUUAGUCGUUAUGACAGUUAUGUUAUUUAUGUAUAUAUAGGGUAGUUAUUAUCUAAAAGUGUGUGAGAAUUACUAUAUACAAAAUUCCUGAAAACACUCAAAGUACCCGUGUGAAGAAAAGAGUCAUAUUUGGAAAUGUAUGUGUAAACAAACACCAAUUCUUUCAAAGUUUAUUAUAUAAAGUUCAAAGUUCUUUACAAAUCUCUUUAUGUUUUCCAGUCAUUAUCUUUCUGCACUUUAUCCUUUUCGACACUUUACAUUUCAUCAGUUAUUUUCCGCCAUUUACUUUAUCUUGUUAAAUUUACAUCCACUUAACAUUGUAAUCAACUCAUUUCGACGUAAAACACUUAGAGAACAGACUGAAAGAUAUGAAAGUGAUUUUAGACAUCUUCAAGACCAUCUAGAUUUGCACAUGUCCUAGGAUUUGUGUGGUUGACCUGGCAAGUAACCAAUUCUACACGUUUUGGUAAACCAGAGGUGUUCGCCAAAUUUCACAGCGAACAAUUGGCACGCCCAGUGGGACAGUGCAAAAAAUUUAGAAGUUAGAUAAUCGCUAGUCAAAAUCUGUUCUUCCUUUGCAUGAGACUAAGAAGCGGUAAAUAGCCGUAUCCGAAGUAGAAAUACCUAAAGAACAAGAGUAAGGAAAAUGGCGAACCAGCCAAAUAUCCCAACGAAUCCAUCCCAGUUCUAACCCUGUCCUUCGACAGAAGGCAAUAUAGGAUCGGUCCUGUGUCAGAGGCUGUACCUUCGUCAGCAGGGUCAAUACCAACGGUUUCGAUGUCACAAAAGGCGCUAGUUCGUCCUUCAGGGCACAACAAAUGCCCAUUGGGACACCCCCCCCCCCUGUGGAAACACUUCUAGGCUUUCGUAACGAAUUUCACCUUGGCUCGCCUGGUGGGAACAGCCCUUCGGAUGCCAACUUCGGUGAUGGCAAGUUUACAUAAUUCCCGUUAAUUAUUCAGAUCGAUGGCCAACGUGUCUUCACCCUUAAGGGUCAGGAUAGGUGAAACAUGGGUAGAUUGAAUCAACAACCACUUUACGUGCCGCCGAUAACAAAUAAUCGGCGCAAGUGAUUAGACAACAGAUGGACGAGAGUAAUCACGAUAUGGUCCAAAUGUUGAUGCAACAAAUGGGAGCGGUGUUUAAUCCACUGAUACAGAACACCACUCAAACAAACCAAGUAUUGGCAGCGCAAUGACGCGCAUUGCUGAUUUCUUUGGAGUCCCUCAAACUCGACACAGAGAGCAAGUGGUUCAUAACCCAGCGGUAGCGGUCCCGAAGAACCUACGAUAAACCAGGUACCGUUAGACAAUCCUCAAACGAACGUCAGAAACCAAGAGGAUGUGGUCGAACAGCCUCGUGUCGAAUCCCCCUUCCACAAGAGCCUAGAAGGAUAGUAAUCCAGAGAGGCCAGGACGCGGAUGCUGUAUUGCAACAACGAAUACGGUAUAAUAAUUCGCCUGUCGAAACAACUUGGCAGCCAUGGUCGAAACGAUAAUGGCACAAAAUGGAUGAACAUGGGUUUGCAAAGGCCUAGUUACGCAUCCCCACUAUCAGAAUACAUUCUGCAAGAAGAACUGCACCAAGGUGGAAAGUCCCUAAGUUCACAAAGUUCUCAGGGACACUAGUGAGUCCACUAUAGAACAUGUGGCACGUUAUCUGAUCGAGGCAGGGGAGAUAGCCCGUAACGAAAUUUGAAAAUAAAAUUAUUCCCUAGUUCCUUAACAAAAAACAGCGUUUACUUGGUUACAUCUUUGCCUGCAAACUCAGUGUACACGUGGACCCAGUUAGAAAGGCUGUUCCAUGAACAAUUCUACAUGGACAAACGAAAAUAAGUCUGAAAGAAUUAGCCAGUGUCAAGAGAAAACACUCCGAACCAAUAGAUGAUUAUUUAAAUAGGUUCGACUGUUAAAGGCUAGAUGUUUCACCCCAGUGCCAGACAUGAGUUGGUCGAAAUGGCCGCAGGGGGACUAGAUUAUUCCAUAAGGAAGAAAACUAGAUACCCAGUAUCUGAGGGAUAUGGCACAAUUAGCGGAUAGAGUGAGACAGGUCGAAAGAUUAAGGACGAAAAAUUCAGGGCAAAUAAGAAUAAAAAAGAGAGGGUAGCCUACGUAGGGGUUCGCCAAGAUGAUGAUUUCGACGAAGGCGGACCAAGUAGCUUCGACGAACAAAGAAAUCGACCUAGCAGAACUAAAACAAGCCCACCUUAUUCGUGUAAAGUACUAACGCCGUCGAACGGGGAACCCAGAUCGAAGCCAACGAUAAGUUCCCCCAAAAGGACUUAUACGUUCGACAUUACUAAAUGUGACGAAAAUCUUCGAUCUGUUGGUUAAAGAUGGUCAAUUUAAAUACCAGGCGCUAAAGAACCGCCUGUGGAACAACCAGAAAAAGAGAGGUUUUGUAAAUACCCAUAAUUUCUGGGCCAUAAGACGUCUCGUUGUUUCCUUUCAGGGAUCUCGUGCAAAAUGCUAUCUGUGAUGGAAGGCUCAAGUUUG